ACUUUAUCCCUUAACAUUUAAAGGUUGAGAAAUAUGGAGAGAUAGGCACAGGGAAAUGGAGCCGCCAAGAAAGGCAAAGAGAGGUACCCCCUUUCCAUCCCCAAAUUGCACCCCAACUGCCACCAGAUCCUUUGCAAUGGGACCAGAUGGGUUUUCCUCGUCUGUUCCUCUUCUCUGCUCAGCAGUAGCAGCAUCUGCCAGAUCUGUGCUGAAAGCAUUCAAGGGACGCAUGUUAGAUGUGGAGCGAGGAGAGGGAAAAUAUCUAGGUCAUUGGGACAGGAAGAUCAGAGUUAAAGGAGGCCGAGGAAGAAAGGGCAGAAGGGCGAGCGAAGGAGAGAAGGGGUGGCACACUGCAAGCAUUACAGAAUCACCAGACAAUUCUGCCAACAAUUAAGACGUUUUCUGAAGCCGUCACGGAAGAAGUCAACACUCUGUUUCUACAACCAGCGUCUCACAGUUUCCAUCGUGCACAGAUCUUCCGAUAGCCAAGCAAAGCAAUCAUGUGACCCACACAUUCUUGUGAAAUGCUGUUAAUGCUUGAAAAUUCUCUCUGAGUGAUACCACGAUUGUCCUGAAUCCAUCUUUCAACAUUUUGCUUGUGAAACUCAGUGGUUGCUGUCACAAGACAUCCAACUCUUUGUUUGUCACACAAGUCAAAUGUUCCCACCUCAACAUCUCUAAACUUACUUGCCCAAUGACACACAGGACUCACAUCCACACAAUCACCAUAACCAGCUUGCAUUCUCUGAUGAA
rnacentral:lncRNA from 11 species